ACCUUGUUGCUUCGGCGGGCCCGCCGUUUUCGAACGGCCGCCGGGGAGGCCUCGCGCCCCCGGGCCCGCGCCCGCCGAAGACCCCAACAUGAACUCUGUUCUGAAAGUAUGCAGUCUGAGUUUGAUUACCAUAAUCAGUUAAAACUUUCAACAACGGAUCUCUUGGUUCCGGCAUCGAUGAAGAACGCAGCGAAAUGCGAUAAGUAAUGUGAAUUGCAGAAUUCAGUGAAUCAUCGAGUCUUUGAACGCACAUUGCGCCCCCUGGUAUUCCGGGGGGCAUGCCUGUCCGAGCGUCAUUGCUGCCCUCAAGCACGGCUUGUGUGUUGGGCCCCCGUCCCCGGUUCUCCCCGGGGACGGGCCCGAAAGGCAGCGGCGGCACCGCGUCCGAUCCUCGAGCGUAUGGGGCUUUGUCACCCGCUCUGUAGGCCCGGCCGGCGCCAGCCGACACCCCCAACUUUAUUUUUCUAAGGUUGACCUCGGAUCAGGUAGGGAUACCC
rnacentral:rRNA from 1 species